UUUAACCGGUUCAAACAAAGGAUUUCGAAUUAAACACAUGGAUGACAAGUAAUGAGAUGAUAAGUGACAUAAAAGUUGGUUGACAAACUCGAGUAAAUGAGCUGAAUACAUAAAAUUAGGAGGUAAAAGUAGACAGCACUGUAUGGGGUAAGAAAAAAUACAUAUUGUAUUGUAUUGUAUUAAUGCUUUAAAUGUGUAGUUCUCAGACUACUAGUGGUACGUGGGCUCCAUCUAGUGGUACGCCAAAGCAGAGCCGGCCCAAGGCAUAAGCGCACUAUGCGCUUGCUUAGGGCCCUUCCAUUUUCUACCGCUUAUUCCCUUUGGGGUCGCGGGGGCGCUGGAGCCUAUCUCAGCUACAAUCGGGCGGAAGGCGGGGUACACCCUGGACAAGUCGCCACCUCAUCGCAGGCUUGCUUAGGACCCCGCGGCAAUUAACAAAAAAUUCUUAUUUUUUAUUUUUUGCAUGUACGAGUCUGACUGAUGAUUUCUAAAUGAUCAAAGAUAUAUUAUUGUACAAAAACACAAUUUUAGGUCAACAGAGUGCUGCUGCUGAUCUAGGCCUAGUGAUUCUUCCUGCCUCUCUUUAAAUGUAAAGCUGCCUCUGCUGCACCUGUGACGUUUGCCGCCUGCCGUGCGUGCAAUGCCAGUGCGCACUGGGCAUCAAAAGCGCAGAUAGAGGCAAAACAAUGUCACCAAAAAGGACAUAUCCUUCAGGUGCAGAAAAAAAGGAAGAAGAAGAAAGUGGAAGAGGAGAAAAACUGCCAUGAUAAAGGAGCAUUGUUAAAAUACUUUGGAGGCACAGAAUCAGCCCAGAGCCAGUCCACAUCCUCAGGCUCAACUGUGAGUGAUGAAUUAGGUCCAUCUCCAUCCUCUACAGUGCUCUCUCACACACCUCCAUCCUCUGUGCCCACUGUCCCCUCCAUGUCUGAAACCACAGCUGAUUUAUCUA